GAUGAACGCUAGCGGGAGGCCUAACACAUGCAAGCCGAGCGGUAUUGUUUCUUCGGAAAUGAGAGAGCGGCGUACGGGUGCGGAACACGUGUGCAACCUGCCUUUAUCUGGGGGAUAGCCUUUCGAAAGGAAGAUUAAUACUCCAUAAUAUAUUGAACGGCAUCGUUUAAUAUUGAAAGCUCCGGCGGAUAGAGAUGGGCACGCGCAAGAUUAGCUAGUUGGCGAGGUAACGGCUCACCAAGGCGAUGAUCUUUAGGGGGCCUGAGAGGGUGAUCCCCCACACUGGUACUGAGACACGGACCAGACUCCUACGGGAGGCAGCAGUGAGGAAUAUUGGUCAAUGGGUGCAAGUCUGAACCAGCCAUCCCGCGUGAAGGACGACUGCCCUAUGGGUUGUAAACUUCUUUUGUAUAGGGAUAAACCUACCCUCGUGAGGGCAGCUGAAGGUACUAUACCAAUAAGCACUGGCUAACUCCGCGCCAGCAGCCGCGGUAAUACGGAGGGUGCAAGCGUUAUCCCGAUUUAUUGGGUUUAAAGGGUCCGUAGGCGGACUUAUAAGUCAGUGGUGAAAGCCUGUCGCUUAACGACAGAACUGCCAUUGAUACUGUAAGUCUUGAGUAUAUUUGAGGUAGCUGGAAUAAGUAGUGUAGCGGUGAAAUGCAUAGAUAUUACUUAGAACACCAAUUGCGAAGGCAGGUUACCAAGAUAUAACUGACGCUGAGGGACGAAAGCGUGGGGAGCGAACAGGAUUAGAUACCCUGGUAGUCCACGCCGUAAACGAUGCUAACUCGUUUUUGGGCUUUAGGGUUCAGAGACCAAGCGAAAGUGAUAAGUUAGCCACCUGGGGAGUACGCUCGCAAGAGGUGAAACUCAAAGGAAUUGACGGGGGCCCGCACAAGCGGUGGAUUAUGUGGUUUAAUUCGAUGAUACGCGAGGAACCUUACCAAGACUUAAAUGGGAAUUGACAGCUUUAGAAAUAGAGCUUUCUUCGGACAAUUUUCAAGGUGCUGCAUGGUUGUCGUCAGCUCGUGCCGUGAGGUGUUAGGUUAAGUCCUGCAACGAGCGCAACCCCUGUCACUAGUUGCCAUCAUUCAGUUGGGGACUCUAGUGAGACUGCCUACGCAAGUAGAGAGGAAGGUGGGGAUGACGUCAAAUCAUCACGGCCCUUACGUCUUGGGCCACACACGUAAUACAAUGGCCGGUUCAGAGGGCAGCUACACAGCGAUGUGAUGCAAAUCUCGAAAGCCGGUCUCAGUUCGGAUUGGAGUCUGCAACUCGACUCUAUGAAGCUGGAAUCGCUAGUAAUCGCGCAUCAGCCAUGGCGCGGUGAAUACGUUCCCGGGCCU
rnacentral:rRNA from 1 species